rnacentral:rRNA from 1 species
AGCGGAGGAAAAGAAACUAACAAGGAUUCCCCUAGUAACUGCGAGUGAAGCGGGAAAAGCUCAAAUUUAAAAUCUGGCAGUCUUUGGCUGUCCGAGUUGUAAACUAGAGAAGUGUUAUCCGCGCUGGACCGUGUAAAAGUCUCCUGGAAUGGAGCAUCAUAGAGGGUGAGAAUCCCGUCUUUGACAUGGACUACCAGUGCUUUGUGAUGCGCUCUCAAAGAGUCGAGUUGUUUGGGAAUGCAGCUCAAAAUGGGUGGUAAAUUCCAUCUAAAGCUAAAUAUUGGCGAGAGACCGAUAGCGAACAAGUACCGUGAGGGAAAGAUGAAAAGAACUUUGGAAAGAGAGUUAAACAGUACGUGAAAUUGCUGAAAGGGAAACGCUUGAAGUCAGUCGCGUUGGCCAGGAAUCAACCUUGCUUUUGCUGGGCGUACUUUCUGGUUGACGGGUCAGCAUCAAUUUUGACUGUUGGAAAAAGUUCAAGGGAAUGUGGCAUCUUCGGAUGUGUUAUAGCCCUCGUUCGCAUACAGCAGUUGGGAUUGAGGAACUCAGCACGCCGCAAGGCCGGGUUUCGACCACGUUCGUGCUUAGGAUGCUGGCAUAAUGGCUUUAAUCGACCCGUCUUGAAACACGGACCAAGGAGUCUAACAUGCCUGCGAGUGUUUGGGUGGAAAACCCAAGCGCGCAAUGAAAGUGAAAGUUGAGAUCCCUGUCGUGGGGAGCAUUGACGCCCGGACCAGACCUUUUGUGACGGAUCCGCGGUAGAGCAUGCAUGUUGGGACCCGAAAGAUGGUGAACUAUGCCUGAAUAGGGUGAAGCCAGAGGAAACUCUGGUGGAGGCUCGUAGCGAUUCUGACGUGCAAAUCGAUCGUCAAAUUUGGGUAUAGGGGCGAAAGACUAAUCGAACCAUCUAGUAGC